rnacentral:rRNA from 1 species
UACGGAGGGUGCAAGCGUUAUCCGGAUUCACUGGGUUUAAAGGGUGCGUAGGUGGGCAAGUAAGUCAGUGGUGAAAUCUCCGGGCUUAACCCGGAAACUGCCAUUGAUACUAUUUGUCUUGAAUACUGUGGAGGUCAGCGGAAUAUGUCAUGUAGCGGUGAAAUGCUUAGAUAUGACAUAGAACACCGAUAGCGAAGGCAGCUUGCUACACAGUUAUUGACACUGAGGCACGAAAGCGUGGGGAGCAAACAGG